UAGGGCGGACGGGGAGGUAAUGUCUGGGAAACGUGCCCGAUGGAGGGGGGUAACUACUGGAAACGGUAGCUAAUACCGCAUAACGUCGCAAGACCAAAGAGGGGGACCUUCGGGCCUCUUGCCAUCGGAUGUGCCCAGAUGGGAUUAGCUAGUAGGUGGGGUAAAGGCUCACCUAGGCGACGAUCCCUAGCUGGUCUGAGAGGAUGACCAGCCACACUGGAACUGAGACACGGUCCAG
rnacentral:rRNA from 1 species